AGCAUUGAUAUCACCCUGUCGUCGGUUUUAUUAUUCAGACGGGGUCGAGACACUCGACGCAUCAGUAGAGAACAUUUUUCCGGAAAUCCGUGAGUCCGCGAAUCCGCGAAUCCGCGAGUCGGCGAGUCCGCGAGUUCACGAAAAUUUAGAAUCAAUUAUUUCGAUUAUUUUCCUGAAUUUUUGAGCUUUUCCAGCUGUUUAUUUUUUGCGUUAUCCCCUGGGCUAUUGGUUUAAUUGUUUAUUGUGAUAUUUUUUCGUGGAAUUUCUCUCUUCAGCAAUUUAUGAGUGGUGGCACCACGUGAUGUGUCUCAGUGCUGAUAAAAUGUGAUUUUAAUGCCGCUAUUGGUAAUGGGAAAACAAUUUUUUAUCUUUACGUAGAUAAGGAAUCAGUCGAUGAUUCGAUUAUAAUUAAUAUUUUAUCGGUGAUUUGGGGGUUUUUUUGGGUUAAGGUUUAAGUGGGAAGGAAUUGUGAAAAUAUACGUAUUUUCCCACCGCCAGUGAUAGAGAAAAAAAAAAUAUAUUCUGGAGGAAUGUUCAGUCGAGAGAACGUAAUUUCCUCAGUUGUUCUUGAGACUCCAAGUGCGCGGUUCUACGAAAAUUCAUCGUCAUUGGAACACUUGUUCAAUCAUAAACUAUUUAUUAAUAAAUUAAAACAAACAGAAAAAAAAA